AGCUCUUGGAAACAGACGUAGACUAGACUAGACAGUGGCACAACAAUCAUGUCAAUGGUGGCCCAUUGCAUAGGGAAAAACCCUACCUGUAAGUGCAGUGUAGAACUACUGUUAGGGAAUAUCCCUUCAUUCUUACUGCCAUGGAGAGUGUUGUGAUCAACUGGAGCCUCCUGUGUCUUGUCUUGUCUUAGGAACAGUGCUGCUCACCAAGCUGCUCAGAUUAUGGAGUCCCAAGCUAUCUAACAAAUUGGUGUAUUGGUACGCCUCUGAGACUCCUGACUUGGUUAGCCUGAAGAGAGAAGUAUCAGAUAUAAAGCAACAGUUGCAGCACGUUAAUAUGAUGGACAAUUUUGCAGAUCAUGCCAGACUUCAGAGGAGAAUCAAUCAGAAGGACAGAGAGCUUCAGGUGAAAGAGAAGGGUCAAGUCACAGUUGACGAAGCUGAGUGCCGUGUUGAGUGGAGAGAGUUCAUUGUUAAUAUUGAUAAUGCAUAUUGGUGUCGUCAUGCUGAAUCAUCGGAGACCAGUUGCCAUUUCCCCCACUGAACUGUUCCAUCCAGUGUCUCCACUCCUGGCCUUCCCCACUGGACAACCAGGUGGUAUCGGCUGUCCUCUGUGGGCUGUAGCCUGCUCUCAGUUUAGAUACUGUCAUGCAAUGUCUGAACGUUGUCUAGUUUUAUUAUUGUAUAUACUUUCAUAAUUAUAUUAUAAUUGUUUUUUGGUUUCAGUUGUUAUUC